GUGGAUGAUGAUGUGGCGCAAGCAGUGGCGGAUAUAAGCCUAGGGCCAAUAUGGCCAUGGCCCUAGGCGUGGGGAAAAAUACUAGAGUAUUUUUUUUUGUUUUUUUCAGCUAAAUCUACAUAUUAGCAUUACUUUUAUUCAUUAGCAUGUGAUCGAUGUUGGUAGUUCAUAGUAUUGGCCCUAGUCGUGAAAAUUCCUUAGCUCCGCCACUGGGCGCAAGGAGGUGCAAGAGAAUUAGCUUAGUGGGGUUUGUCUUUAUAGGAUAGAAUUAGCUUAAUGGGGUUUGUCUUUAUAGGAUAUAUAGAUAACCGAUCACAUCUUUCAACAGUAGUGAUUGACAUAGUCACACGUUUUUGUGUCAAUCGCUAGGUCACGAGGGCUAUCGGUGUUGCAGCAACCGGCACAAACCACGUACAAAGGCAUCGCUUACAAAUAAUUGUGGAUGGUUGGAUCAAGUUGAAGCUUGUGGGAAGAGUUAAGAGCCAUUGAUUUUUAUGUAUUCUUAGGUACAUGAUCUUUGGUGCAUAAUGUCUGUGAGUUAUCUUAGUCAAAGGAUAUAAAUGUGAACAUGUAUUUAGACAUAUCGGAUAGAAAAAUAACUAAUUUUUAUUCUACAUGUCUAAUUCACUCUACUCCCUCCGUCCCCACAAAUAAUUGCAUU
rnacentral:lncRNA from 1 species